ACUCCUACGGGAGGCAGCAGUGGGGAAUCUUCGGCAAUGGGCGCAAGCCUGACCGAGCCAUGCCGCGUGAGUGAUGAAGGUUUUCGGAUUGUAAAGCUCUUUCGUCGGGGACGAUAAUGACGGUACCCGAAGAAGAAGCCCGGCUAACUUCGUGCCAGCAGCCGCGGUAAUACGAAGGGGCGUAGCGUUGUUCGGAAUUACUGGGCGUAAAGCGCGCGUAGGCGGAUCGUUAAGUCAGGGGUGAAAUCCCGGGGCUCAACCC
rnacentral:rRNA from 1 species